UCAUGCAAUGAAAACUGCCAAUAAUCAUUUUCCAAUCGAUGAUUUCUGCAACAAGCUCAGACUUAAAAGAGUUAAAGUAACUGGAGAUAAAGAAGUAUGAGAUGGAUUUAGUUUCCCAGCUACAGAGUACUCCAAAGAAUAUUCUGUAUCUCAAUGAUAUCCUGACCUAUCGAAUCGAUAUCCUGGUAAUCCACUCACACACAUAAAUCUU
rnacentral:lncRNA from 1 species